GUGGGGAAUUUUGGACAAUGGGCGAAAGCCUGAUCCAGCAAUGCCGCGUGUGUGAAGAAGGCCUUCGGGUUGUAAAGCACUUUUGUCCGGAAAGAAAUGGCUCUGGUUAAUACCUGGGGUCGAUGACGGUACCGGAAGAAUAAGGACCGGCUAACUACGUGCCAGCAGCCGCGGUAAUACGUAGGGUCCAAGCGUUAAUCGGAAUUACUGGGCGUAAAGCGUGCGCAGGCGGUUGUGCAAGACCGAUGUGAAAUCCCCGAGCUUAACUUGGGAAUUGCAUUGGUGACUGCACGGCUAGAGUGUGUCAGAGGGGGGUAGAAUUCCACGUGUAGCAGUGAAAUGCGUAGAGAUGUGGAGGAAUACCGAUGGCGAAGGCAGCCCCCUGGGAUAACACUGACGCUCAUGCACGAAAGCGUGGGGAGCAAACAGGAUUAGAAACCCGAGUAGUCC
rnacentral:rRNA from 1 species